rnacentral:rRNA from 1 species
AUACGGAGGGUGCAAGCGUUACUCGGAAUCACUGGGCGUAAAGCGCGCGCAGGCGGUCUUUUAAGUUGGAUGUGAAAGCCUACGGCUCAACCGUAGAACUGCAUCCAAAACUAUUAGACUAGAGUGUGAGAGAGGAAGAUGGAAUUAGUUGUGUAGGGGUAAAAUCCGUAGAGAUAACUAGGAAUACCAAAAGCGAAGGCAAUCUUCUGGAACACUACUGACGCUGAGGCGCGAAAGCGUGGGGAGCAAACAGGAUUAGAAACCCUAGUAGUCC